ACUCCUACGGGAGGCAGCAGUGGGGAAUAUUGCACAAUGGGGGAAACCCUGAUGCAGCCAUGCCGCGUGUGUGAAGAAGGCCUUCGGGUUGUAAAGCACUUUCAGCGAGGAGGAAAGGGUGUGUGCUAAUACCCAUACAUCUGUGACGUUACUCGCAGAAGAAGCACCGGCUAACUCCGUGCCAGCAGCCGCGGUAAUACGGAGGGUGCGAGCGUUAAUCGGAAUUACUGGGCGUAAAGCGUGCGCAGGCGGUUUGUUAAGCGAGAUGUGAAAGCCCCGGGCUCAACCUGGGAAUUGCAUUUCGAACUGGCAAGCUAGAGUCUUGUAGAGGGGGGUUAGAAUUUCAGGUGUAGCGGUGAAAUGCGUAGAGAUCUGAAGGAAUACCGGUGGCGAAGGCGGCCCCCUGGACAAAGACUGACGCUCAUGCACGAAA
rnacentral:rRNA from 1 species